rnacentral:rRNA from 1 species
ACGCGUUAAGUUCGCCGCCUGGGGAGUACGGUCGCAAGACUGAAACUCAAAGGAAUUGACGGACUCCUACGGGAGGCAGCAGUGGGGAAUAUUGGACAAUGGGGGCAACCCUGAUCCAGCAAUGCCGCGUGAGUGAUGAAGGCCUUAGGGUUGUAAAGCUCUUUUGCCAGGGACGAUGAUGACGGUACCUGGAGAAUAAGCCCCGGCUAACUUCGUGCCAGCAGCCGCGGUAAUACGAAGGGGGCUAGCGUUGUUCGGAAUUACUGGGCGUAAAGGGCGCGUAGGCGGUCUGAUAAGUUAGAUGUGAAAUUCCCGGGCUUAACCUGGGGGCUGCAUUUGAUACUGUCAGGCUUGAAUCCAGGAGAGGAUAGUGGAAUUCCCAGUGUAGAGGUGAAAUUCGUAGAUAUUGGGAAGAACACCAGUGGCGAAGGCGGCUAUCUGGACUGGCAUUGACGCUGAGGCGCGAAAGCGUGGGGAGCAAACAGGAUUAGAUACCCUGGUAGUCCACGCCGUAAACGAUGAGUGCUAGACGCUGGUAGGUUUACCUAUCGGUGUCGCAGCUAACGCAUUAAGCACUCCGCCUGGGGAGUACGGUCGCAAGAUUAAAACUCAAAGGAAUUGACG